UACGUAGGGUCCGAGCGUUGUCCGGAAUUACUGGGCGUAAAGAGCUCGUAGGCGGUGUGUCACGUCGGCCGUGAAAACCUGCAGCUUAACUGUGGGCGUGCGGUCGAUACGGGCAUCACUGGAGUUCGGCAGGGGAGACUGGAAUUCCUGGUGUAGCGGUGAAAUGCGCAGAUAUCAGGAGGAACACCGGUGGCGAAGGCGGAUCUCUGGGGCCUUACCUGACGCUCAGGUGCGAAAGCUAGGGGAGCGAACAGG
rnacentral:rRNA from 1 species